AACGCUUUGAAGAUCAACAAAGUUGAAUCCAUCGCCUUUGGAAACUCUACCUGUGCGAGCUAUCUAACUGCUCCGGAUGCAGGGUCUUGGAAUUGCAUGACUUACUUGAGAGCUGAAUUGGAAUAUGGAUUCUGUUCAAAUGGUCCACCAAGAGAUUUGGCCCAAACAAAGAGAGUUUUGAAAGCUUAGCAUUUCUGAAUCUGGCACAAAGUGUAGUUUGUUUCAUUUGGUCAUUUAUUAUGAUAAAGCUUUGGUCCAGUACUAGUAGUGGUGGUGCUCCAUGGUGGAGUUACUGGAGUGUUGGCAUUACAAAUACAAUUAGCCCAACUAUGGGGAUUGAAGCUUUAAAGUACAUCAGUUACCCUGCCCAAGUAAUUUCAAUUUGUUUCCAUAGUUGACACUUUCUAUGCAACUCUUUUUAUCUAUUUGUUGAAAGUUUAGCCCUUCGCCAUUGUCAAAAUCACCAGGCGAAAUUUUAUGAUUUUGAUACAAUUUUUAUAGUUGACACUUUCUAUGCAACUCUUUUUAUCUAUUUGUUGAAAGUUUAGCCCUUCGCCAUUGUCAAUAUGACUUGGGGAAAUUUUAUGAUUUUGAUACAAUUUUUGUACCCAAUGAUACCAAAAUCUCACAAGUGAACCAAUAAGCCAACCUCUUUACAAUGUAAACAAUCAAGGAUAAUACCCAUUUUCAAACCAUAGUCAACCUAUCAGGCCAAUGAGGGGCCAUUGCUUGCUCUGCAAUGGUGAAAGUUUAGGUUGUCAAGUGUGAGGACAUGGGUUGAAUAUGAGUUUGGUUGCUUUGUAUCUCAAUAAUGAUCUGGUCAGGCUUGUGCUCAGUCCUUGGCACCCACUAUUUCUUUAAUUUAACCAACACUGGGCGAUAGGCUUUAGUUGAUUGAAAGGUAAAUUGUCUAAGGCUCGAAAGAUUCAUCUAUCAGCUUCCGAAUCUGGCAUUGAUCAGGCAUAUAUGAAUGUAUUGAUGUAAAUAUUAGAGUAUGAAUCUCUGAUUAGAGGGCUUGAUAUAUAUUGCUAUGGAAUCUCUUCAUAUAGUUAACCCAUGAACCAAACAAAAUAUAAAGAAAAUGGAAAUUUCAGUGAUAUGAAAACCAACCUGAUUGGUUUUACCUUUCUUGCCCAUUCAUUUGUAACAUUCUGCUUAAAAACAUUUAGUUAUAUGUCACAGGCUAAAUUUAUAGCACAGUUUAACCAGCUUUUGAGGGAAAGUUUUUUACCUUUAGCUGCCCCAAACCGGAUGAGACAUUAACAAUUCUUGUAGAACUAGAGAGCUGAAGAAGUGGAAUGAGAGCUUGAGAUAGCUAUUUAGGUCCAUAGUAAUUUGUUCGUAGACACCCUUCUACUAUUUCAUAGGUUUGUUUUAUAACCUUUUUCGCCAUUUCAACUUUGUUUUAUAACCUUUUUCGCCAUUUCAACCGUCUCACCUACAAUAUAUAUCAUUUUUAGAAGAUUAAAAUCCUUGAUGUAUGCAAUAAGCAUACAUUUUUUUUGUUGAAACCCAGAAUCUGGU